GCAGUGGUGGUUCAGUGGCAGAAUUCUCACCUUCCACGCAGAAGGCCUGAGUUCAAUUCCCAGCCAAAGCA
rnacentral:tRNA from 1 species